CCAGAGUUUGAUCAUGGCUCAGAUUGAACGCUGGCGGCAGGCCUAACACAUGCAAGUCGAGCGGAUGACGGGAGCUUGCUCCUUGAUUCAGCGGCGGACGGGUGAGUAAUGCCUAGGAAUCUGCCUGGUAGUGGGGGACAACGUUUCGAAAGGAACGCUAAUACCGCAUACGUCCUACGGGAGAAAGCAGGGGACCUUCGGGCCUUGCGCUAUCAGAUGAGCCUAGGUCGGAUUAGCUAGUUGGUGAGGUAAUGGCUCACCAAGGCGACGAUCCGUAACUGGUCUGAGAGGAUGAUCAUCACACUG
rnacentral:rRNA from 1 species